rnacentral:rRNA from 1 species
UACGUAGGGGGCAAGCGUUGUCCGGAAUCAUUGGGCGUAAAGCGCGUGUAGGCGGUCCGGUAAGUCCGCUGUGAAAGUCGGGGGCUCAACCCUCGGAUGCCGGUGGAUACUGUCGGGCUUGAGUACGGAAGAGGCGAGUGGAAUUCCUGGUGUAGCGGUGGAAUGCGCAGAUAUCAGGAGGAACACCGGUGGCGAAGGCGGGUCUCUGGGCCGAUACUGACGCUGAGGAGCGAAAGCAUGGGUAGCGAACAGG